ensembl:lncRNA
CAAAGCUGGACAUGGUUGCUGACAUUUCCCUGCUGAUCCUUUCCUCUCUCCCUACUCUCAAGAAAAUACAAGAAAAGUCUGACCUUGAUAGCAGCUGUCAGGCACAGACACCCUGCUACACUGAGCUCUGGAGACUUUCCCUACAGCAGGCCGAGGCUGGGGGAGCUGAGGAGGUGGUGGGACCAGGAAUCCCAUGGAGAAAGGCUGUGCGACAUGACCAGCCCCCAGCAUCUGAUGCUCGCCGUGGCCUCGGCAGGAUUUUAUUUGCCAUCCUUACAUCCUUCUCCGAGGUCUGUCUUCAAUUAAUGGCUCGUUGUCUCCUCCAGACCCAGGAUGGAUGCAGACAACCCAAAGCCCUGAGCGCCUUUGUGUCAAGCCAAGUUCAAGGUCCUUCCAGACAGUGGGAAGCAUCCCCUGGAACCAACGCAAACAGUGACUGUGUUACAGAGAAAACGAGCGGCUGAAAGAUGUCACCAGAGGAGAAGCAUGAAGAACGUUUCUUCUCCUCCUGCUCUUUAUUCUUUCUUCUUGACACAAUGUCAGGAACUGCUUUUCUCUUUUCCUCCCCACUUCCUCACACGGCGUCUUCACAGCCAGCCUUUGGCAAAGGCGUUUUGGUGGCCAUCUAUUAAUUCUGCUGUGGCCUUUAGUAAUGUCAUCUUGGCUCAAAUGCUUUCUUGAAAUACAGGGCUGCAGAUUUCUCCAAACACACUUGGCAUGUUAUAUGGUGCCGGAGCAAUGCUAACUCCCUUAGAACAUAGAUGAAGCAAACAGUGCUAAUUUAUGCCUUGCUUUUUUAUUCCCAACAUAAUUUUGAUUUUAAUGUCCUAUCCUCACCACAUCAAUAUCUUUCUCACUGCUGGCAUGUUAGAACAAAAAGUAAAUAUUUCAUCUUCCUUUCCUUCACAAAGAUGCUCACCCACAGCAUCUGGGACAAUGCAAAUGAGACGUGACU